rnacentral:rRNA from 1 species
UACGUAGGCGGUUUCAUAAGUCAGAUGUAAAAGCGUGGGGCUCAACCCCAUAAAGCAUUUGAAACUGUGGAACUUGAGUAGUGGAGAGGAAAGUGGAAUUCCUAGUGUAGCGGUGAAAUGCGUAGAUAUUAGGAGGAAUACCAGUGGCGAAGGCGACUUUCUGGACACAAACUGACGCUGAGGUACGAAAGCAUGGGGAAGCAAACA